rnacentral:lncRNA from 1 species
AUUCGCUUAGUUGGUCUACUUUAAAAGGCCACUUGAACUCGCUUUCCAUGGCGAUUUGCCUUGUGAGCACUUUCAGGAGAGCCUGGAAGCUGAAAAACGGCGGCGGAAGGUGAUCGAAUUCCGGUGAUGCGAGUUGUUCUCCGUCUAUAAAUACGCCUCGCCCGAGCUGUGCGGUAGGCAUUGAGGCAGCCAGCGCAGGGGCUUCUGCUGAGGGGGCAGGCGGAGCUUGAGGAAACCGCAGAUAAGUUUUUUUCUCUUUGAAAGAUAGAGAUUAAUACAACUACUUAAAAAAUAUAGUCAAUAGGUUACUAAGAUAUUGCUUAGCGUUAAGUUUUUAACGUAAUUUUAAUAGCUUAAGAUUUUAAGAGAAAAUAUGAAGACUUAGAAGAGUAGCAUGAGGAAGGAAAAGAUAAAAGGUUUCUAAAACAUGACGGAGGUUGAGAUGAAGCUUCUUCAUGGAGUAAAAAAUGUAUUUAAAAGAAAAUUGAGAGAAAGGACUACAGAGCCCCGAAUUAAUACCAAUAGAAGGGCAAUGCUUUUAGAUUAAAAUGAAGGUGACUUAAACAGCUUAAAGUUUAGUUUAAAAGUUGUAGGUGAUUAAAAUAAUUUGAAGGCGAUCUUUUAAAAAGAGAUUAAACCGAAGGUGAUUAAAAGACCUUGAAAUCCAUGACGCAGGGAGAAUUGCGUCAUUUAAAGCCUAGUUAACGCAUUUACUAAACGCAGACGAAAAUGGAAAGAUUAAUUGGGAGUGGUAGGAUGAAACAAUUUGGAGAAGAUAGAAGUUUGAAGUGGAAAACUGGAAGACAGAAGUACGGGAAGGCGAAGAAAAGAAUAGAGAAGAUAGGGAAAUUAGAAGAUAAAAACAUACUUUUAGAAGAAAAAAGAUAAAUUUAAACCUGAAAAGUAGGAAGCAGAAGAAAAAAGACAAGCUAGGAAACAAAAAGCUAAGGGCAAAAUGUACAAACUUAGAAGAAAAUUGGAAGAUAGAAACAAGAUAGAAAAUGAAAAUAUUGUCAAGAGUUUCAGAUAGAAAAUGAAAAACAAGCUAAGACAAGUAUUGGAGAAGUAUAGAAGAUAGAAAAAUAUAAAGCCAAAAAUUGGAUAAAAUAGCACUGAAAAAAUGAGGAAAUUAUUGGUAACCAAUUUAUUUUAAAAGCCCAUCAAUUUAAUUUCUGGUGGUGCAGAAGUUAGAAGGUAAAGCUUGAGAAGAUGAGGGUGUUUACGUAGACCAGAACCAAUUUAGAAGAAUACUUGAAGCUAGAAGGGGAAGUUGGUUAAAAAUCACAUCAAAAAGCUACUAAAAGGACUGGUGUAAUUUAAAAAAAACUAAGGCAGAAGGCUUUUGGAAGAGUUAGAAGAAUUUGGAAGGCCUUAAAUAUAGUAGCUUAGUUUGAAAAAUGUGAAGGACUUUCGUAACGGAAGUAAUUCAAGAUCAAGAGUAAUUACCAACUUAAUGUUUUUGCAUUGGACUUUGAGUUAAGAUUAUUUUUUAAAUCCUGAGGACUAGCAUUAAUUGACAGCUGACCCAGGUGCUACACAGAAGUGGAUUCAGUGAAUCUAGGAAGACAGCAGCAGACAGGAUUCCAGGAACCAGUGUUUGAUGAAGCUAGGACUGAGGAGCAAGCGAGCAAGCAGCAGUUCGUGGUGAAGAUAGGAAAAGAGUCCAGGAGCCAGUGCGAUUUGGUGAAGGAAGCUAGGAAGAAGGAAGGAGCGCUAACGAUUUGGUGGUGAAGCUAGGAAAAAGGAUUCCAGGAAGGAGCGAGUGCAAUUUGGUGAUGAAGGUAGCAGGCGGCUUGGCUUGGCAACCACACGGAGGAGGCGAGCAGGCGUUGUGCGUAGAGGAUCCUAGACCAGCAUGCCAGUGUGCCAAGGCCACAGGGAAAGCGAGUGGUUGGUAAAAAUCCGUGAGGUCGGCAAUAUGUUGUUUUUCUGGAACUUACUUAUGGUAACCUUUUAUUUAUUUUCUAAUAUAAUGGGGGAGUUUCGUACUGAGGUGUAAAGGGAUUUAUAUGGGGACGUAGGCCGAUUUCCGGGUGUUGUAGGUUUCUCUUUUUCAGGCUUAUACUCAUGAAUCUUGUCUGAAGCUUUUGAGGGCAGACUGCCAAGUCCUGGAGAAAUAGUAGAUGGCAAGUUUGUGGGUUUUUUUUUUUUACACGAAUUUGAGGAAAACCAAAUGAAUUUGAUAGCCAAAUUGAGACAAUUUCAGCAAAUCUGUAAGCAGUUUGUAUGUUUAGUUGGGGUAAUGAAGUAUUUCAGUUUUGUGAAUAGAUGACCUGUUUUUACUUCCUCACCCUGAAUUCGUUUUGUAAAUGUAGAGUUUGGAUGUGUAACUGAGGCGGGGGGGAGUUUUCAGUAUUUUUUUUUGUGGGGGUGGGGGCAAAAUAUGUUUUCAGUUCUUUUUCCCUUAGGUCUGUCUAGAAUCCUAAAGGCAAAUGACUCAAGGUGUAACAGAAAACAAGAAAAUCCAAUAUCAGGAUAAUCAGACCACCACAGGUUUACAGUUUAUAGAAACUAGAGCAGUUCUCACGUUGAGGUCUGUGGAAGAGAUGUCCAUUGGAGAAAUGGCUGGUAGUUACUCUUUUUUCCCCCCACCCCCUUAAUCAGACUUUAAAAGUGCUUAACCCCUUAAACUUGUUAUUUUUUACUUGAAGCAUUUUGGGAUGGUCUUAACAGGGAAGAGAGAGGGUGGGGGAGAAAAUGUUUUUUUCUAAGAUUUUCCACAGAUGCUAUAGUACUAUUGACAAACUGGGUUAGAGAAGGAGUGUACCGCUGUGCUGUUGGCACGAACACCUUCAGGGACUGGAGCUGCUUUUAUCCUUGGAAGAGUAUUCCCAGUUGAAGCUGAAAAGUACAGCACAGUGCAGCUUUGGUUCAUAUUCAGUCAUCUCAGGAGAACUUCAGAAGAGCUUGAGUAGGCCAAAUGUUGAAGUUAAGUUUUCCAAUAAUGUGACUUCUUAAAAGUUUUAUUAAAGGGGAGGGGCAAAUAUUGGCAAUUAGUUGGCAGUGGCCUGUUACGGUUGGGAUUGGUGGGGUGGGUUUAGGUAAUUGUUUAGUUUAUGAUUGCAGAUAAACUCAUGCCAGAGAACUUAAAGUCUUAGAAUGGAAAAAGUAAAGAAAUAUCAACUUCCAAGUUGGCAAGUAACUCCCAAUGAUUUAGUUUUUUUCCCCCCAGUUUGAAUUGGGAAGCUGGGGGAAGUUAAAUAUGAGCCACUGGGUGUACCAGUGCAUUAAUUUGGGCAAGGAAAGUGUCAUAAUUUGAUACUGUAUCUGUUUUCCUUCAAAGUAUAGAGCUUUUGGGGAAGGAAAGUUUUUUUUUUUUCUAUAGACUUUUUUCAGAUAACAUCUUCUGAGUCAUAACCAGCCUGGCAGUAUGAUGGCCUAGAUGCAGAGAAAACAGCUCCUUGGUGAAUUGAUAAGUAAAGGCAGAAAAGAUUAUAUGUCAUACCUCCAUUGGGGAAUAAGCAUAACCCUGAGAUUCUUACUACUGAUGAGAACAUUAUCUGCAUAUGCCAAAAAAUUUUAAGCAAAUGAAAGCUACCAAUUUAAAGUUACGGAAUCUACCAUUUUAAAGUUAAUUGCUUGUCAAGCUAUAACCACAAAAAUAAUGAAUUGAUGAGAAAUACAAUGAAGAGGCAAUGUCCAUCUCAAAAUACUGCUUUUACAAAAGCAGAAUAAAAGCGAAAAGAAAUGAAAAUGUUACACUACAUUAAUCCUGGAAUAAAAGAAGCCGAAAUAAAUGAGAGAUGAGUUGGGAUCAAGUGGAUUGAGGAGGCUGUGCUGUGUGCCAAUGUUUCGUUUGCCUCAGACAGGUAUCUCUUCGUUAUCAGAAGAGUUGCUUCAUUUCAUCUGGGAGCAGAAAACAGCAGGCAGCUGUUAACAGAUAAGUUUAACUUGCAUCUGCAGUAUUGCAUGUUAGGGAUAAGUGCUUAUUUUUAAGAGCUGUGGAGUUCUUAAAUAUCAACCAUGGCACUUUCUCCUGACCCCUUCCCUAGGGGAUUUCAGGAUUGAGAAAUUUUUCCAUCGAGCCUUUUUAAAAUUGUAGGACUUGUUCCUGUGGGCUUCAGUGAUGGGAUAGUACACUUCACUCAGAGGCAUUUGCAUCUUUAAAUAAUUUCUUAAAAGCCUCUAAAGUGAUCAGUGCCUUGAUGCCAACUAAGGAAAUUUGUUUAGCAUUGAAUCUCUGAAGGCUCUAUGAAAGGAAUAGCAUGAUGUGCUGUUAGAAUCAGAUGUUACUGCUAAAAUUUACAUGUUGUGAUGUAAAUUGUGUAGAAAACCAUUAAAUCAUUCAAAAUAAUAAACUAUUUUUAUUAGAGAAUGUAUACUUUUAGAAAGCUGUCUCCUUAUUUAAAUAAAAUAGUGUUUGUCUGUAGUUCAGUGUUGGGGCAAUCUUGGGGGGGAUUCUUCUCUAAUCUUUCAGAAACUUUGUCUGCGAACACUCUUUAAUGGACCAGAUCAGGAUUUGAGCGGAAGAACGAAUGUAACUUUAAGAGGCAUUUCAUCCUUCAUGAAGCCAUUCAGGAUUUUGAAUUGCAUAUGAGUGCUUGGCUCUUCCUUCUGUUCUAACUUCACAGAGAAUGCAGUUGUCUUGACUUCAGGUCUGUCUGUUCUGUUGGCAAGUAAAUGCAGUACUGUUCUGAUCCCGCUGCUAUUAGAAUGCAUUGUGAAACGACUGGAGUAUGAUUAAAAGUUGUGUUCCCCAAUGCUUGGAGUAGUGAUUGUUGAAGGAAAAAAUCCAGCUGAGUGAUAAAGGCUGAGUGUUGAGGAAAUUUCUGCAGUUUUAAGCAGUCGUAUUUGUGAUUGAAGCUGAGUACAUUUUGCUGGUGUAUUUUUAGGUAAAAUGCUUUUUGUUCAUUUCUGGUGGUGGGAGGGGACUGAAGCCUUUAGUCUUUUCCAGAUGCAACCUUAAAAUCAGUGACAAGAAACAUUCCAAACAAGCAACAGUCUUCAAGAAAUUAAACUGGCAAGUGGAAAUGUUUAAACAGUUCAGUGAUCUUUAGUGCAUUGUUUAUGUGUGGGUUUCUCUCUCCCCUCCCUUGGUCUUAAUUCUUACAUGCAGGAACACUCAGCAGACACACGUAUGCGAAGGGCCAGAGAAGCCAGACCCAGUAAGAAAAAAUAGCCUAUUUACUUUAAAUAAACCAAACAUUCCAUUUUAAAUGUGGGGAUUGGGAACCACUAGUUCUUUCAGAUGGUAUUCUUCAGACUAUAGAAGGAGCUUCCAGUUGAAUUCACCAGUGGACAAAAUGAGGAAAACAGGUGAACAAGCUUUUUCUGUAUUUACAUACAAAGUCAGAUCAGUUAUGGGACAAUAGUAUUGAAUAGAUUUCAGCUUUAUGCUGGAGUAACUGGCAUGUGAGCAAACUGUGUUGGCGUGGGGGUGGAGGGGUGAGGUGGGCGCUAAGCCUUUUUUUAAGAUUUUUCAGGUACCCCUCACUAAAGGCACCGAAGGCUUAAAGUAGGACAACCAUGGAGCCUUCCUGUGGCAGGAGAGACAACAAAGCGCUAUUAUCCUAAGGUCAAGAGAAGUGUCAGCCUCACCUGAUUUUUAUUAGUAAUGAGGACUUGCCUCAACUCCCUCUUUCUGGAGUGAAGCAUCCGAAGGAAUGCUUGAAGUACCCCUGGGCUUCUCUUAACAUUUAAGCAAGCUGUUUUUAUAGCAGCUCUUAAUAAUAAAGCCCAAAUCUCAAGCGGUGCUUGAAGGGGAGGGAAAGGGGGAAAGCGGGCAACCACUUUUCCCUAGCUUUUCCAGAAGCCUGUUAAAAGCAAGGUCUCCCCACAAGCAACUUCUCUGCCACAUCGCCACCCCGUGCCUUUUGAUCUAGCACAGACCCUUCACCCCUCACCUCGAUGCAGCCAGUAGCUUGGAUCCUUGUGGGCAUGAUCCAUAAUCGGUUUCAAGGUAACGAUGGUGUCGAGGUCUUUGGUGGGUUGAACUAUGUUAGAAAAGGCCAUUAAUUUGCCUGCAAAUUGUUAACAGAAGGGUAUUAAAACCACAGCUAAGUAGCUCUAUUAUAAUACUUAUCCAGUGACUAAAACCAACUUAAACCAGUAAGUGGAGAAAUAACAUGUUCAAGAACUGUAAUGCUGGGUGGGAACAUGUAACUUGUAGACUGGAGAAGAUAGGCAUUUGAGUGGCUGAGAGGGCUUUUGGGUGGGAAUGCAAAAAUUCUCUGCUAAGACUUUUUCAGGUGAACAUAACAGACUUGGCCAAGCUAGCAUCUUAGCGGAAGCUGAUCUCCAAUGCUCUUCAGUAGGGUCAUGAAGGUUUUUCUUUUCCUGAGAAAACAACACGUAUUGUUUUCUCAGGUUUUGCUUUUUGGCCUUUUUCUAGCUUAAAAAAAAAAAAAGCAAAAGAUGCUGGUGGUUGGCACUCCUGGUUUCCAGGACGGGGUUCAAAUCCCUGCGGCGUCUUUGCUUUGACUACUAAUCUGUCUUCAGGACUCUUUCUGUAUUUCUCCUUUUCUCUGCAGGUGCUAGUUCUUGGAGUUUUGGGGAGGUGGGAGGUAACAGCACAAUAUCUUUGAACUAUAUACAUCCUUGAUGUAUAAUUUGUCAGGAGCUUGACUUGAUUGUAUAUUCAUAUUUACACGAGAACCUAAUAUAACUGCCUUGUCUUUUUCAGGUAAUAGCCUGCAGCUGGUGUUUUGAGAAGCCCUACUGCUGAAAACUUAACAAUUUUGUGUAAUAAAAAUGGAGAAGCUCUAAAUUGUUGUGGUUCUUUUGUGAAUAAAAAAAUCUUGAUUGGGGAAAAAAGAUGGGUGUUCUGUGGGCUUGUUCUGUUAAAUCUGUGGUCUAUAAACACAGCACCCAUAAUUACAGCAUAAUCUUCAAGUAGGGUACGGACUUUGGGGGAUUGGUGCGAGGGUAGUGGGUGAGUGGCCUACUAAAAAGCCCAGUAACCCCCACAGGAAAAUAGGGAACUUCUUUUUAAGUAGCCUCCUUUCCACUAUUUAGUAAUUGGCUGUGAGCUGGGCUGGGGGAGAAAUGGGGCGGGGUGUGUGUGUCAUUGGAAAGCUCUCUUUUUUGUUUUUUUGAGACAGUCUCACUUUGUCCCCCAGGCUGGAGUGUAGUGGCAUGAUCUCUGCAAACUGCAACCUCCACUUCUGGGGUCCAAGUGGUUGUCCUGCUUCACCCUCCCUGUAGCUGGGACUACAGGUGCACACCACCACGCCUGGCUAAUUUUUGUAUUUUCAGUUAGAGACGUGGUUUUACCAUAUUGGCCAGGCUGGUCUCAAACUCCUGACCUCGUGUGAUCCACCCGCCUGGGCCUCUGAAAGUGCUGGGAUUACAGGUGUGAGCCACCAAGCCUGGCCGAUCCUUUUAAGUUUUUAAACCAGUUAAGCUCUUUGGUUCCCCCUCAGAGUCCCAAGGUCCUGGGUCACUCAGGAUCACAUUUUCCUUUAAUCAGUUGUCACUGGUCCCCUUUUGUCCCUUUGAACGUGCUGUGGGAUUAGUAGCAGCAUCUGGCUGUUGGAAGGACUGGCUGGGAUCUCAGGUGAAAUACCCUCCCUGGCCCUCCUUACCCUUAAGAUCUCCCUGAAAAGUCAGACCUUGCUUAUUGGAGUUUGAGAUGCAUUCUAGUAAACCCAGACCUACCAGAGAGAGGGACCCACGUCUGAAGAAUCUUCCAGCCUGGGGAACCUGUGACUGGCCACACCCUUAGCCUAAUGGAGGGGCCUCAGAAGCAGAACUACCUUUUUUUUUUUUUUUAAUGGUAUUACAUUUUGCAAAUGGAGAGGUAGACUCUGAUUGGGCCCCUUUUGACAACGCAGCAGAGCUGAGGUUUGAAUCCUAGUCAGUCAACACUUCAACCCCUAUGUUGCUGUUUCUUCAAUGUCUAGAAUGUUCUGAUAGAUGAAGCAAUGGCCCGGCAGGUCAGCAGCACACCAACCCCCAACCUACCCAGCCUGUAUAGGCCUUGGCCACAGGAGCUUUCUCUUCCCUUGAAGUGAUCUAAUGGGGGAUGGGGUAUCUGUCUCGCUGGUUAUGAAAGAAGCUGAGCUAGGUGCUCUCCUAAGUUGCUUAAGUGUCUUCUGAAUUGAUGCCCAGUCAGUUUCGUAUGGAGAAAGGUCUCUGUUUUUCCAAAGCAGAAGGUUCUGUGGAAGCACAAAUACUUUACUGGAGAGCAAAGGAGUACGAGUAGGAAUUGGGGGCCACGCACAGUGGCUCACGCCUAUAAUCCCAGGACUUUGGGAGGCCGAGGUGGGCAGAUCACCUGAGGUCAGGAGUUCGAGACCAGCCUGACCAACAUGGAGAAACCCCAUCUCUACUAAAAAUACAAAAUUAGCCGGGCGUGGUGGCGUAUGUCUGUAACCCCAGCUAUUCGAGAGGCUGAGGUAGGAGAAUCGCUUGGACCCGGGAGGCGGAGGUUGCAGUGAGCUGAGAUUGCGCCACUGCACUCCAGCCUGGGCAACAAGAGCGAAACUGUCUCAAAAAAAAAAAAAAAAGAAGAAGAAAGGCUGGGCACGGUGGCUCAAGCCUGUAAUCCCAGCACUUUGGGAGGCCGAGGCGGGCGGAUCACGAAGUCAGGAGAUUGAAACCAUCCUGGCUAACACGGUGAAACCCCGUCUCUACUACACACACACACACACACACACACACACACACACACACACACACAAUUUGCUGGGCGUGGUGGAGGGCGCCUGUAGUCCUAGCUACUCGUGAGGCUGAGGCAGGAGAAUGGCGUGAACCUGGGAGGC